rnacentral:rRNA from 1 species
CCUGAGAAACCCAAAAGAUCGAAUGGGGAGAUUCAUCGUCAGCGUAUUUGAUAUAUAUAUGAGUUAUGAUAUGAAUUGUCCUCUCACGGGGAUAUUAAUUUGUACAUACUUGUAUUAUUUUAUUGUUGAAUAUUGUCGGCGUGCACUUCUCCCCUAGUAGGACGUCGCGACCCGUUGAGUGUCGAUCUACGGCCCGAUUGGGUAGCCUUUAAUUGUAAUUAAUUAAAGACCAGUUGGUGUUUUCUGAUCGACUGCUCGGCGGUACUCGUACGGUAUUGAGUCGCAUUUUAAUAUGCGUUCACACCCGUCGCAAGCGAGGCCAGUCACCUGAUAGUACGGACCUAGUGCCGUCGUUGGGCCUGGCCAGCUGUUGGCUGUUGCGGUGUUCUGUAACUGACUCUUAAUUUUUAUACCGGUCAGCGACGCUACUGCUUUGGGUACUUUCAGGACCCGUCUUGAAACACGGACCAAGGAGUCUAACAUGUGCGCGAGUCAUUGGGAUUAUUUUAUUAAAUUAAACCUAAAGGCGCAAUGAAAGUAAAGAUCGUCCUUGCGUCGAUCGAGGGAGGAUGAGCCGUGUUACGAUGCGGCUCCGCACUCCCGGGGCGUCUCAUUCUCAUUGCGAGAAGAGGCGCACCCAG